rnacentral:rRNA from 1 species
UACGUAGGGUGCAAGCGUUAAUCGGAAUUACUGGGCGUAAAGCGCACGUAGGCGGACUAUUAAGUCAGGGGUGAAAUCCUGGAGCUCAACUCCAGAACUGCCUUUGAUACUGAGGAUCUUGAGUCCGGGAGAGGUGAGUGGAACUGCGAGUGUAGAGGUGAAAUUCGUAGAUAUUCGGAAGAACACCAGUGGCGAAGGCGGCUCACUGGACCGGCAUUGACGCUGAGGUGCGAAAGCGUGGGGAGCAAACAGG